AUUCAGCUGACGAGUCCCAAGUGAGAUGAGACGCGUGUCCUGGAU
rnacentral:hammerhead_ribozyme from 1 species